rnacentral:rRNA from 1 species
UCGGGAAUUUUGGGCAAUGGGCGAAAGCCUGACCCAGCAACGCCGCGUGAAGGAUGAAAUCCCUCGGGAUGUAAAGCACUGUCGGGGGGAAGAAAGGGCGCAAGCCUUGAUCGACCCCCGGAGGAAGCACGGGCUAAGUUCGUGCCAGCAGCCGCGGUAAGACGAACCGUGCGAACGUUGUUCGGAAUCACUGGGCUUAAAGGGCGCGUAGGCGGGCCGGCCAGUCAGGGGUGAAAGCCCGCGGCUCAACCGCGGAAGAGCCUUUGAUACUGCCGGCCUGGAGGGAGGUAGGGGAGUGCGGAACUUCCGGUGGAGCGGUGAAAUGCGUAGAUAUCGGAAGGAACACCAGUGGCGAAAGCGGCGCUCUGGACCUCUUCUGACGCUGAGGCGCGAAAGCCAGGGGAGCAAACGG